AGCUAUCGCCUAGGCCAGCGGAGAUGGUCAGGGCAGCGCUUUCCUAAAGGGCAGUGAUUCUUCCCUUCGAGAAGUGAGGUGAGGGGAGAAGGCGGCUCGCUGGGCAGCAAAACUACAACUCCCAGAGGAAUCAGUGCGUUUUAAAGACAAAACUCGUUUUCUGAGACUCGGGGUUCCAGCUUGCAGGAUCUUAGUUCCCCAACCAGGGAUCGAACCUGUGCCCCCUACAGUGGAAGUGCAGAGUCCUAACCACUGGACCGCCAGGGAAGUCCCUGGGAUUUAACCCGUGCCCCCUGCAGAAGCUCGGAGUCUUA